rnacentral:rRNA from 1 species
UACGGAGGAUCCGAGCGUUAUCCGGAUUAUUGGUUAAGGUGCGUAGGUGGUUGAUAAGUCAGCGGUGAAGUUGCAGCUUAACUGUAAAUGCCGUUGAAACUGUCGGACUUGAGUGUAAAUGAGGUAGGCGGAAUGCGUGGUGUAGCGGUGAAAUGCAUAGAUAUCACGCAGAACUCCGAUUGCGAAGGCAGCUUACUAAGCUACAACUGACACUGAAGCACGAAAGCGUGGGGAUCAAACAGG